rnacentral:rRNA from 1 species
CCUACGGGAGGCAGCAGUGAGGAAUAUUGGUCAAUGGACGAGAGUCUGAACCAGCCAAGCCGCGUGAAGGAAGACUGCCCUAUGGGUUGUAAACUUCUUUUAUAUGGGAACAAAAUCUUCCACGUGUCGGAUUUUGCAUGUACCCUAUGAAAAAGGAUCGGCUAACUCCGUGCCAGCAGCCGCGGUAAUACGGAGGAUCCGAGCGUUAUCCGGAUUUAUUGGGUUUAAAGGGUGCGUAGGCGGAUUGUUAAGUCAGUUGUGAAAGUUAUGGGCUCAACCGUAGAAGUGCAGUUGAAACUGGCAGACUUGAGUACAGUAGAGGAGAGCGGAAUUCGUGGUGUAGCGGUGAAAUGCUUAGAUAUCACGAAGAACACCGGUUGCGAAGGCAGCUCACUGGACUGCAACUGACGCUGAGGCUCGAAAGUGUGGGUAUCGAACAGGAUUAGAUACCCGGGUAGUC